rnacentral:rRNA from 1 species
CGAACGCCGCGUGUGCGAUGAAGUCCUUCGGGAUGUAAAGCACUGUCGGAGGGGAGGACAAAAAAGACGGUACCUUCCAAGAAAGCCCCGGCUAACUACGUGC